AUCCAUCUGACGAGUCCCAAAUGCGACGAACCGCACGUCCUGGAU
rfam:Schistosoma curassoni strain Dakar, Senegal genome assembly, scaffold: SCTD_scaffold0001007